GUGAGGAAUAUUGGACAAUGGGCGCAAGCCUGAUCCAGCCAUGCCGCGUGCAGGAAGACGCAUCUAUGGUGUGUAAACUGCUUUUGUACGGGAAGAAACACUCCCUCGUGAGGGAGCUUGACGGUACCGUAAGAAUAAGGAUCGGCUAACCCCGUGCCAGCAGCCGCGGUAAUACGGAGGAUCCAAGCGUUAUCCGGAAUCAUUGGGUUUAAAGGGUCCGUAGGCGGUUUAAUAAGUCAGUGGUGAAAGCCCAUCGCUCAACGAUGGAACGGCCAUUGAUACUGUUAGACUUGAAUUACAAGGAAGUAACUAGAAUAUGUAGUGUAGCGGUGAAAUGCUUAGAUAUCACGCAGAACUCCGAUUGCGAAGGCAGCUUACUAAGCUACAACUGACACUGAAGCACGAAAGCGUGGGGAUCAAACAGGAUUAGAAACCCGGGUAGUCC
rnacentral:rRNA from 1 species